UUAAAUUGAAGAGUUUGAUCAUGGCUCAGAUUGAACGCUGGCGGCAGGCCUAACACAUGCAAGUCGAACGGUAACAGGAAACAGCUUGCUGUUUCGCUGACGAGUGGCGGACGGGUGAGUAAUGUCUGGGAAGCUGCCUGAUGGAGGGGGAUAACUACUGGAAACGGUAGCUAAUACCGCAUAACGUCGCAAGACCAAAGAGGGGGACCUUCGGGCCUCUUGCCAUCGGAUGUGCCCAGAUGGGAUUAGCUAGUAGGUGGGGUAACGGCUCACCUAGGCGACGAUCCCUAGCUGGUCUGAGAGGAUGACCAGCCACACUGGAACUGAGACACGGUCCAGACUCCUACGGGAGGCAGCAGUGGGGAAUAUUGCACAAUGGGCGCAAGCCUGAUGCAGCCAUGCCGCGUGUAUGAAGAAGGCCUUCGGGUUGUAAAGUACUUUCAGCGGGGAGGAAGGGAGUAAAGUUAAUACCUUUGCUCAUUGACGUUACCCGCAGAAGAAGCACCGGCUAACUCCGUGCCAGCAGCCGCGGUAAUACGGAGGGUGCAAGCGUUAAUCGGAAUUACUGGGCGUAAAGCGCACGCAGGCGGUUUGUUAAGUCAGAUGUGAAAUCCCCGGGCUCAACCUGGGAACUGCAUCUGAUACUGGCAAGCUUGAGUCUCGUAGAGGGGGGUAGAAUUCCAGGUGUAGCGGUGAAAUGCGUAGAGAUCUGGAGGAAUACCGGUGGCGAAGGCGGCCCCCUGGACGAAGACUGACGCUCAGGUGCGAAAGCGUGGGGAGCAAACAGGAUUAGAUACCCUGGUAGUCCACGCCGUAAACGAUGUCGACUUGGAGGUUGUGCCCUUGAGGCGUGGCUUCCGGAGCUAACGCGUUAAGUCGACCGCCUGGGGAGUACGGCCGCAAGGUUAAAACUCAAAUGAAUUGACGGGGGCCCGCACAAGCGGUGGAGCAUGUGGUUUAAUUCGAUGCAACGCGAAGAACCUUACCUGGUCUUGACAUCCACGGAAGUUUUCAGAGAUGAGAAUGUGCCUUCGGGAACCGUGAGACAGGUGCUGCAUGGCUGUCGUCAGCUCGUGUUGUGAAAUGUUGGGUUAAGUCCCGCAACGAGCGCAACCCUUAUCCUUUGUUGCCAGCGGUCCGGCCGGGAACUCAAAGGAGACUGCCAGUGAUAAACUGGAGGAAGGUGGGGAUGACGUCAAGUCAUCAUGGCCCUUACGACCAGGGCUACACACGUGCUACAAUGGCGCAUACAAAGAGAAGCGACCUCGCGAGAGCAAGCGGACCUCAUAAAGUGCGUCGUAGUCCGGAUUGGAGUCUGCAACUCGACUCCAUGAAGUCGGAAUCGCUAGUAAUCGUGGAUCAGAAUGCCACGGUGAAUACGUUCCCGGGCCUUGUACACACCGCCCGUCACACCAUGGGAGUGGGUUGCAAAAGAAGUAGGUAGCUUAACCUUCGGGAGGGCGCUUACCACUUUGUGAUUCAUGACUGGGGUGAAGUCGUAACAAGGUAACCGUAGGGGAACCUGCGGUUGGAUCACCUCCUUACCUUAAAGAAGC
rnacentral:rRNA from 1 species